AUUGAACGCUGGCGGCAGGCCUAACACAUGCAAGUCGAGCGGAUGACGGGAGCUUGCUCCUUGAUUCAGCGGCGGACGGGUGAGUAAUGCCUAGGAAUCUGCCUGGUAGUGGGGGACAACGUUUCGAAAGGAACGCUAAUACCGCAUACGUCCUACGGGAGAAAGCAGGGGACCUUCGGGCCUUGCGCUAACAGAUGAGCCUAGGUCGGAUUAGCUAGUAGGUGAGGUAAUGGCUCACCUAGGCGACGAUCCGUAACUGGUCUGAGAGGAUGAUCAGUCACACUGGAACUGAGACACGGUCCAGACUCCUACGGGAGGCAGCAGUGGGGAAUAUUGGACAAUGGGCGAAAGCCUGAUCCAGCCAUGCCGCGUGUGUGAAGAAGGUCUUCGGAUUGUAAAGCACUUUAAGUUGGGAGGAGGGGCAGUAAGUUAAUACCUUGCUGUUUUGACGUUACCGACAGAAUAAGCACCGGCUAACUCUGUGCCAGCCGCCGCAGUAAGAC
rnacentral:rRNA from 1 species